AUCGCUUCUCUGCCUUUUGGCUAAGAUCAAGUGUAGCACUGGGCCGUUUGGCUAGGUACCCCUUCUUAUGAUUCUAUGCGAAGGAAAAAACACUUGGUCCUCUGGCUGGCAAGAUCAAGGAGAAGUAUCUGUUUUUAUGAUCUUAUAUGAAGAAUGGAGAAACACUU
rnacentral:snRNA from 1 species